CCCAAUCCGGAAGACUUUUGUUGCUCUCUUGUUCGUGUGCACGGAACAAUUCUUUCAGGAACACAACAAAUGCUGCGUUUUAUAAUGUUAUUGGAGUUCUGUUCACUCUCAAGGAUCACUUAUUUUCUCAAAUAAAAGUUGCAACGCCUAAAAAUAUGGAGACUCUUCCUUGUAUAAAUAAAGGUGAUCCUCGUCUAAAGCUGAAAGUGGAGAAUAGAAUGAAAAACAUUUUUGUAACGCAAUUUGAGGAAACUAGACAAGAAGAUGAAAAUGUCAAUCACAUACCUGUUAUAACAGAGACCGCUAGCAGAGUCCUGGAGACAGGAGUGAACACAUUACAGAGAACCCUCGUCCUGAAGAAGCAGGUGGAGGUGGAUGAAGUGGAUAGGCAGCUGGCACAGAAACGACAGGAAUUCAAAGGCCGCAUGCAGGCCCUUGCACAGAGGAAGGCAGAGCUAGAGCUGAAACAGCAGGCUACUAAAGACAGAGCUAAGAAAUUUGAGAAGUUUGUUGAGGACAAUGAGGUAAAGCGCCGUCGGGCCCUGAAGAAGUACCAGGCAGCAAGGAAGCAGAACGAUCUGAAGCAGAACGAGAAAGAAGAGUUCACUGAACAGCUGGAAAAACUGCAGGCCAGGCAGCAGUAUUUAAAGGACAGGGUGACCAAGUAUAAAAUGUACGAAGACUACAUGAUGAAAAUGUUAGAUUUUCUCCCGGAGAAUUACCUGGAGUAUGGGGCAGAUUCCCUGGUGAUGCCCAUCAUUCGGCGCCAUGAUACCCUGUCCCUCACUCAUCAGGACCUGGUGGAGCGCCUGGGCCAGCUGGUGGAAGAGCUGGAGCAGGGCCAGCGCAGCCUGGACAGCCUGAAGCAGGAGCAUAACACCAACAAGCUGAUGAUGAACAGGGAGCUGUCUGAACUGCAGACCCAAUGGGACAGAGACAAGGAGAAGAACAACCAGACUGAGAUAAAACUGAUGAUGCACCAAGGCCAGUCCAGAGACCAGGUUGAGGAAGUGGGUUGCCUGCUGAUAGCUGUGAAGAACCUUGCAGAGCAGUGCUACUUACAGCACUAUGGGCCUCUGGAAGAGAUAGACAUGCUGACGAUGAUGGAUAUGGUAAAGGAAUACAUUCUGGAGAGGGCAGACAUCGAGAUGAGAGCAACACGACUGAUAGACUCGGGCAACGUAUUGACGAGUGCCACAGAGCACAGAAGAUCACUGAAAAACAUUAACAGUAAAACACAACUGAAGAGCACCAGCAAGACCAGUGGGAGGAGUGGACUGUCUAGUUGAUCAAUGCCGAAUAGACCUUUUGCGAGUUUGUGGAGAAACACACAAAUACAACCAUAUGGACGCACGACCGUUUGUUUCAAGUAGAGAAGAAAUACCUACUGGAGGAGGAAGCUGCAAAGUAUUGGGAAGUGGAAACCAUGGCAAUGGAGUGUGACCAUAUAGAUAUCCUGGCUCUGUCGGAGGCCUUAGCAUCCACAUUGCUUCCAUUGAGGGGGAGACUGAUAGCGUCUGGCCCACCACACCAUUCCAGAGGGAACCCAGCCCUCCCUACACCUCCUCUAUAAAACAGCCCACUACGACAUUCUCUACCCACAUUAUUGCCAUUGAGGGGCCUGAUAAAGGACUCCACAUAUCUCAGGUUUACAGGAAGUUUAGUGUUAAUCAUUUAUUUGAAGAGUUAAAAAAAAUAAUUUGUAAAAGUUUGUAUUGUUCUGUAAUAUCGUGCAUUCGGAAAGUAUUCAGACCCCUUGACUUUUUCCACUUUGUUACAUUGCUUAUUCUAAAAUUGAUUCAAUAAUUUAUCUACAUACAAUACCCCAUAAUGACACAGUGAAAACAGGUUG